rnacentral:rRNA from 1 species
GAAUUGACGGGGGCCCGCACAAGCAGUGGAGCAUGUGGUUUAAUUCGAAGCAACGCGAAGAACCUUACCAGGGCUUGACAUCCCUCUGACCGGUGUAGAGAUACACCUUCCCUUCGGGGCAGGGGAGACAGGUGGUGCAUGGUUGUCGUCAGCUCGUGUCGUGAGAUGUUGGGUUAAGUCCCGCAACGAGCGCAACCCUUGUCGUUAGUUGCCAGCAGUAAGAUGGGCACUCUAACGAGACUGCCGGUGAUAAAUCGGAGGAAGGUGGGGACGACGUCAAAUCAUCAUGCCCCUUAUGUCCUGGGCUACACACGUACUACAAUGGCGACUACAGAGGGAAGCAAGACCGCGAGGUGGAGCAAAUCCCGAAAAGUCGUCCCAGUUCGGAUUGCAGGCUGCAACUCGCCUGCAUGAAGUCGGAAUUGCUAGUAAUGGCAGGUCAGCAUACUGCCGUGAAUACGUUCCCGGGCCUUGUACACACCG